CUUUAUAUAUUUCAUAUGAAGUUAAUACUUUUCAGAAAGCUGAUUCUCAAAUACGCGUCGAAAAACAAAAACCAGUUGGGCUGAAUCUUCAAAGAACCAAAAUUAAGAAAACACGAAAUAAUAUUUUUCAGACCAAAGAGUUACUGUAACGCCCCCCACAUCGCAUAGCCGCCAAAAGGAAUGCACAUUCCUGCAGCGUGCAUCGCCUCAACCUGAAUGAUGAAGAAUCUUCUAAAACCACGAGCAAUACCAAAGAGUUACUGUAACGCCCCCCACAUCGCAUAGCCGCCAAAAGUGCAUUCCUGCGCAGCGUGCAUCGCCUCAACCUGAAUGAUGAAGAAUCUUCUAAGGCCACUGACGGACAAUGUAAACUCAUGAAAUAUCACACCUACAACAAGUUAGAAAAGCAUAAUGAAGCACAAUCCAGAAAAAAGUUAAAAUGUCUAAUAAAUAACUAUUUAAUGCUCAAAAAAA